UACGGGGGGGGGCAAGCGUUGUUCGGAAUUACUGGGCGUAAAGGGCUCGUAGGCGGCCAACUAAGUCAGACGUGAAAUCCCUCAGCUUAACUGGGGAACUGCGUCUGAUACUGGAUGGCUUGAGUUUGGGAGAGGGAUGCGGAAUUCCAGGUGUAGCGGUGAAAUGCGCAGAUAUCAGGAGGAACACCGAUGGCGAAGGCAGCUCGCUGGGACGGUAUUGACGCUGAGACGCGAAAGCGUGGGGAGCAAACAGG
rnacentral:rRNA from 1 species